rnacentral:rRNA from 1 species
GGGUCAGUAGGUUGGUCGUGCCACCGGUACGUACUGGUCUCACUUAUUCCUCCUUCCUGAAGAACCGUAAUGCCAUUAAUUUGGUGUUGCGGGGAAACAGGACUGUUACUUUGAAAAAAUUAGAGUGUUUAAAGCAAGCUAACGCUUGAAUACAUUAGCAUGGAAUAAUGAAAUAGGACGAUCGAUCCUAUUUUGUUGGUUUCUAGGAUUGACGUAAUGAUUAAGGGAUAGUUGGG